UACGUAGGGGGCAAGCGUUGUCCGGAAUCAUUGGGCGUAAAGCGCGUGUAGGCGGCCCGAUAAGUCCGCUGUGAAAGUCCAGGGCUCAACCCUGGGAUGCCGGUGGAUACUGUCGGGCUCGAGUCCGGAAGAGGCGAGUGGAAUUCCUGGUGUAGCGGUGAAAUGCGCAGAUAUCAGGAGGAACACCUAUUGCGAAGGCAGCUCGCUGGGACGUAACUGACGCUGAGACGCGAAAGCGUGGGGAGCAAACAGG
rnacentral:rRNA from 1 species